AUUUGAAGACUUACUUUUGAAGCUACAGUACUCAAGACAGUGUGGGACAGGAGUCCCCCCUUAUCUUUUUGGAUUACAUAAAGGGACAAGAAGAAGACGCGCAUCAUCCCUCAUCACCUCCAGCUGGCAAUUUGCAACAACAGGGAACUAAACAAGCUGCUGGGCAAAGUCACCAUCGCCCAGGGCGGCAUUUUGCCUAACAUCCAGGCCAUUCUGUUACCAAAGAAAACCGAAAGCCACAAAGCCAAAAGCAAAUAA
rnacentral:lncRNA from 1 species